GUCGUUGUAGUAUAGUGGUGAGUAUCCCCGCCUGUCACGCCGGGAGACCCGGGUCCGAUCCCCGGCAACGGCG
rnacentral:tRNA from 1 species